UGAACUCACAGUUUAACAUAAUGGACAUAUCGGCCAGACUGCUGAUUAUCUUACUGUUCUGGGGAGGUGUUGAUGGUCAGACUUUGACAGAAUCUGAACCAGUCAUUAAAAGGCCUGGAGAGUCCCACACACUGACCUGCACAGCCUCUGGAUUCACAUUUAGCAGCUAUGAUAUGCACUGGGUCAGACAGACUCCUGGGAAAGGAUUGGAAUGGGUUGCCGAAGUUAGUACUGGUAGUAGCAAAUACUACUCUCAGUCAGUCCAAGGCCGGUUUACCAUCUCCAGAGACAACAGCAAACAGCAGGUGUAUCUGGAGAUGAACAGCCUGAAGACUGAAGACUCUGCUGUUUAUUACUGUGCUCGAGAGUCACAGUGACACAAGAGGAAGAAACACUGUACAGAAACUCAGAAAACCAAAAAUGAAUAAAUUUUAUUCUGCAAUUCACAUUUACAAACUGAAGUUCCUUGAACAGCUGUACAAAAUCCAGUCGUCUUUAUCCUGUCUACAUGUAUCUAAUAUGUUUGGUAUAGUAUGGUUCAAGAAAAUUAUAUAUUUUAGUUUUUCUCAUUUUCAGAAUUCUUGUACAGAAUUCUGAAAAGAAUAAAUUCUUUGUCCCAAUUUUUAGUCAGUGUAAAAAUGACAUUUUUAAGAACAUUCAACAUUGUAGACUGUUGUUGCAUGAGUUCUCUACUGAGGGAUGUAUUUUUGAUACAUCC